UACAGAGGGUGCGAGCGUUAAUCGGAAUUACUGGGCGUAAAGCGCGCGUAGGCGGUUUUGUAAGUCGGGUGUGAAAUCCCCAAGCUUAACUUGGGAACUGCAUUCGAGACUGCAUAGCUAGAGUAUGGGAGAGGGAAGUGGAAUUUCAGGUGUAGCGGUGAAAUGCGCAGAUAUCAGGAGGAACACCGAUGGCGAAGGCAGGUCUCUGGGCCGAUACUGACGCUGAGGAGCGAAAGCGUGGGGAGCGAACAGG
rnacentral:rRNA from 1 species